AACUGCUAUCCAUAGAGCUAUCUAUCUGCAGGAAAAAGCCAGAAGUUCCUGUCCAGAGUCGGUGGUGAAGAGACCAGUCGAACCAGGAGACCUGGUGUACGUGAAGGUGUUCAGACGUAAAUUUAACAGCUCGAGAUGGGACGGACCAUUUGAGGUCAAACGAGCGACCGCAACCGCCGUCCAAGUUCAGGAGGUGGUGAGCCUAACAACAGCGAGGCUGGAGAUGAACUCUCACAGCCUGCAGACGGCACCACAGCAUCAGCCAACGUCAGCUCAACCACAAGUGAAACGAGCAACGUGUAAUAAGGGUCGAGACGAUCGACAUGCAACCAUGAAAUGUGGCACUUCAUUCUAUAAAGGGAAAUCCACCUUUGCAGAACAAGAUAAGUACAACACAAUGUUAAUGGGUUUGACAAAGUACACACCAGUGUUUUUGCCAGCUGAACUGAAGUUAAUGACUCAUCUAGGUCUUAAAGAACAGUAGAAUGGUAAUACAAAACAGACAAGCCUUAGAUUGACUUUUAGCAAGUAAGGGAGGUGUUUGUCACAUGUUCGGUAAUCAGUGCUGUACAUACAUUCCUAUGAACACAGCUCCUAAAGGUUCGUUUAGGGCAGUAAUGGUUAAACUUAUGAAACUUAAAGAACAAGUAAAAGAGAAUGCUGGUAGAAACAACUGGUCGUGGAAAAGUCUGGAAGAAAUUUUAGGAGAAUGGGGUGUUUUAGCCGCUAAAACAGGACUAACUUUGGUAAUAACACUGAUUGUAAUCUUAUUGUUUCUGUGUUGUGUUGUGCCUAAUUUGAAAAGGUGGAUUGUGGGAACGAUGUGUAGAUGGAUGACAUCAGGCAGCAGCCAUCGAAAAGGCUGACAUCCCGGCCGCCUGGACACGUCUAUGGACUCACACGUAUGCUACAGACUCAUUCCAAAUGGAAAGGAGUACCCGUGAUCAAGACGGACUCUCUUGUUUUGCUACGUGUCCAUGGACUCAUUCAAACCAAGCACACGAACUGAAGACUGACUAACCCUAUUAAUCUUGUUUCAGUUACUAAAUUUAAGAUUAAAUAAAUAAAAUACAAUACAAUAAAGUAUUAGUAGAUAAGGUAGCACAGGCGGCCGGUUAGUUUAAUCUGUCAUAACAUUAUAUCUUAACAUUCGUUUCUGUUUAACCCUCCGUAUCAGUUUUAUUAGCAAGAUAAUUUGCAUAUAUAUAUAAUCCAUGUAUUUCAUAUGUUGUUUAUUGAUGGUUGUAUAUGUUACAUUCUAUUAGGUACUCUUUUUGAAUGAUAAGUGCUGGAUUUCAUUGCAAGUAGCAUGGCUGAUUUCCAAUUGAUGCCGGUCGACCUGGCUGGCGGAUGCUCGAUGGAGAACCGAGAUCCAUGGGAGAGUUUUUUCCCCUGAGAACAGUACAUGAACAAGUGCCAACAACGGGGUUUUUCGCUUCCAUAUCAGCUGGAUUGAUGCCAAUGUAAAAGCAAUGACUAUUUUCUCUCUCUCUCUCUCCCUCUCUCUCUCUCUCUUCCUCUUAGUCUCUCUCUUCUGUCUCUCUCUCUCUCUCAUUGAAAUGUGUUAGUGAUUGUAAUUUGCACUUAUUACAAGUCAGUGUUGAUCAACAAUUAUGUGGACACCGUGAUCACAUUAGUAUAUUAUCCAUUGGUUGUGUAAGCAAUUAAAUUUUUAGAUGUUGUUAUUAUUACAGCUAAGCUUGAUUAGUGUGGAGUCAGAUUUUCUCUUUAUACGAUGUUUAGUCUAUGUACUUUAGUAUAUAGAGGGUUCCUUAGGAGUGUUACGUAAGUAACGUAACAAGGGAGGAUAUGCAGGGGGUUUGAAAACAUCUGAAGUCUGUUUGUCCUGAAAGCCAGGCAAAAGGAGCACAAGUCCAGAAUAUGACCAGGACAUGACAUCCUGUGUGACCCAAACAGAGGUCAACUGACAAGAUAAGGUUGUCUGUUUUUAAACGUUUGUGGAGUUGUUCCCAGAAAUAUGACCAAUGUCUGCCAAAGGAGGCUGGAAGCACGUGGACACUGCUGGGUCACAGCGCGGACCAAUGGGUGCACAGAGAAUCUUAUUUGUAACACACACCCAUCUGUGGGAUAUAAAAUGCAUGUACACUAUGUUGUAAUCAGAACUCUAGCUCACACCCGUUCUUACGUGCUGAGAGGUAAAGCCUGAAAUAAAGGGUUCUCCAGUUGGCAAGCA